rnacentral:rRNA from 1 species
AACCUACAGAAAGCCAAUCUCAGUUCGGAUUGUAGGCUGCAACUCGCCUGCACGAAGUCGGAAUUGCUAGUAAUCGUAGGUCAGCAUACUACGGUGAAUACGUUCCCGGGCCUUGUACACACCGCCCGUCAAACCAUGAGAGUUGGCAACACCCGAAGUCGGUAGUCUAACCGCAAGGAGGACGCCGCCGAAGGUGGGGUUGAUGAUUAGGGUUAAGUCGUAACAAGGUAUC